CUACGGGAGGCAGCAGUAGGGAAUCUUGCGCAAUGGGCGAAAGCCUGACGCAGCGACACCGCGUGAGGGAUGAAGGCCUUCGGGUCGUAAACCUCUUUCGGCAGGGACGAAGCGAUAGUGACGGUACCUGCAGAAGAAGGUCCGGCCAACUACGUGCCAGCAGCCGCGGUAAGACGUAGGAGGCGAGCGUUGUCCGGAUUCAUUGGGCGUAAAGAGCGCGUAGGCGGCUUGGUAAGUCGGAUGUGAAAACCCGAGGCUCAACCUCGGGCGUGCAUCCGAUACUGCCCGGCUAGAGGUAGGUAGGGGAGAUCGGAAUUCCUGGUGUAGCGGUGAAAUGCGCAGAUAUCAGGAGGAACACCGGUGGCGAAGGCGGAUCUCUGGGCCUUACCUGACGCUCAGGCGCGAAAGCUAGGGGAGCGAACAGGAUUAGAUACCCUGGUAGUCCUAGCCGUAAACGUUGGGUGCUAGGUGUGGGCGGAUAUCGACCCCGUCCGUGCCGAAGCUAACGCAUUAAGCACCCCGCCUGGGGAGUACGGCCGCAAGGCUAAAACUCAAAGGAAUUGACGGGGCCCCGCACAAGCGGCGGAGCAUGUUGCUUAAUUCGAUGCGACGCGAAGAACCUUACCUGGGCUUGACAUGCAGGGUGAAACCCGUGAAAACGGGCGCUCUUCGGAGCCUGCACAGGUGGUGCAUGGCUGUCGUCAGCUCGUGCCGUGAGGUGUUGCCUUAAGUGGCGCAACGAGCGCAACCCCUGUCCUUAGUUGCCAGCGGAUCAUGCCGGGAACUAGGGAGACUGCCGGUGCCAAACCGGAGGAAGGUGGGGAUGACGUCAAGUCAUCAUGCCCCUUAUGUCCAGGGCUGCAAACAUGCUACAAUGCUCGGUACAAAGGGCUGCGAUCCCGCAAGGGGGAGCGAAUCCCAAAAAGUCGCGCUCAGUUCGGAUCGAGGUCUGCAACCCGACCUCGUGAGGUCGGAGUCGCUAGUAAUCGCAGAUCAGCAAUGCUGCGGUUGCUUUUACCCGGGCCUUGUACAC
rnacentral:rRNA from 1 species